AGAAGAAUCUAAGGUUGAUCUCAGAAACACCAUCGCCCUUUUCCUUCACCUCAGAACACUUCUUUGAAGACACUGAAGUCUCCCAAAACAGGAGCUCCUGCCCCACCGAAGGCCCAGAGAUCUGCUAUACAGAUGCUCAAUGCAAAGCUUUGCUGAUCAAGGAAGAACCUGAGAAAUACCACACACUGUAUCUGAUGCUCCGAGAAUCCCCAUGCAUGUUAGCAGGUUAAAGAAUCUUAAACAUUUACAAGCACCGCAUUGGGUCCAGGAGCCCUCCCCAUGCCAGCCUGCAGGAGUGGAAGGAGCUCACAGACAGCUGCUUUGAAAGUUAUUUCUUUAACUACAAGGACACGAUGUUGCUUUUCAUUUCUUUAAAAUGCCUAUUCAUGCCUGGCUCGGUGGUUGAGCACUGAGCACAUGCCUGGGUUGU